ensembl:lncRNA
UGGAGCGCAGGGUUAUGAACACACACGGUGGGAGAGUUUGCACAAGUUCAGUAUCAGGUUCAGAUGAGGAUGAAACUGAUCCAGGAUAUCCCAGCCAAAAGGAUGUGUCUCAUUUUCCAGGGAAUUUCCUCCUCCGUGGAGUGCAAGGAAGAGUGGCGGAGCUAUUUGAUAUGUGUGAUGUAUAGGAUAAAGCAGGCCAGAGGGGGUCAUUCACAAGGCUUACUUUACCAGUGUUUCCAGGAAAUGGACAUGGAUGUAUCCGUCCUGUGAGGCCUCGACAGAGUGACCCAAACAUUAGACGUCACACUUAUAGGAGGAGGACGGGGCAGGAAGUGGCUGAAGGCCGUCCGUUGGCUGCCGGUGAAUUAUGCCAGAGAAGGGAC